GAUGAACGCUGGCGGCGUGCCUAAUACAUGCAAGUCGAGCGAACAGACGAGGAGCUUGCUCCUCUGACGUUAGCGGCGGACGGGUGAGUAACACGUGGAUAACCUACCUAUAAGACUGGGAUAACUUCGGGAAACCGGAGCUAAUACCGGAUAAUAUAUUGAACCGCAUGGUUCAAUAGUGAAAGACGGUUUUGCUGUCACUUAUAGAUGGAUCCGCGCCUCAUUAGCUAGUUGGUAAGGUAACGGCUUACCAAGGCAACGAUGCGUAGCCGACCUGAGAGGAUGAUCGGCCACACUGGAACUGAAACACGGUCCAGACUCCUACGGAAGGCAGCAGUAGGGAAUCUUCCGCCAUGGGCGAAAGCAUGACGGAGCCACGCCGCGUGAAGGAUGAAGGUCUUCGGAUCGUAAAACUCUGUUAUUAGGGAAGAACGAUUGUGUAAGUAACUAUGUACGUCUUCACGGUACCUAGUCAGAGAGCCACGGCUAACUACGUG
rnacentral:rRNA from 1 species